rnacentral:rRNA from 1 species
UAGGGAAUCUUCCACAAUGGACGCAAGUCUGAUGGAGCAACGCCGCGUGAGUGAAGAAGGUCUUCGGAUUGUAAAACUCUGUUGUUAGAGAAGAACACGAGUGAGAGUAACUGUUCAUUCGAUGACGGUAUCUAACCAGCAAGUCACGGCUAACUACGUGCCAG